rnacentral:snoRNA from 1 species
UUUUUGUGAUGAAAGUUUCCAUUCUAUUCGCAGUUUCCACUCGAGUUCCGAUGAGCCUUUUUCUGGAACAGAUGAGGGUUAAUACUUCCUUGGAUGUCUGAUCAA